GAUCGCUUAGACCUGAUGUAACACUUGUGAUUCUCCCCUUUGAAACUUCAAACUCCAGUUUGUGAACAAAGUCCUGUCUAUCUUCUGAAUAGGAAUCUCCGACCACUGACCAAACUCCAUUUGCAACCACUGCCUAUUUGUACCUUCUCCUCAAUGACUACAUUUCAUUUCCCCAAGUCCGAUCUCAAAGGCAGUGCAGCAGGGAAGCAACACAGUAAAAUCAAAAUACAGGAACCAGCAGCUGGAUGGGAAAGGUGAUUAUGGUGGCCUGGAAGAGUUAACAAGACGUGGAAUAUACUGUCUGGGGACUUAUUUUGUUUCUUUCUAAGAGAGCUACAUCACAGAGGACAUGUUAAUGUUUGUAAAGCACAUCCCGGAGCGUGUUGAUAAGAGUGAAACAUAAGGAGACAAUGUGCUGGCUACAGCAGAUUUGAGGGCAGCAGAAAAAAGGCUGCUGCUCUGCUCUCCUGCAGUAGAUGGAGGAGAUAGGAUGAUCAUGGGAUGUGAAAGCUCCAGAACAGCCAUGAAGGCGGUGUGUUUUAAGGAGCCAGGCCUGCCUCUCGGUGCCCCGCUGUCAAGUCAUUCAGCUUUGUAGAUUAAACAGAUAUCCGCUGAGGAGCUGCUGAACGGCUGCUGUCAUGUUUACAUUCACCAAGUGAUUCUGCCAACAGUAGGUUGUGACCGUUGGGCAAUUAAUCCCAUGUGUCUGACACAAAUUUAUGUGUGCUGUGUGAGCUAUACUGUAAGCUAAAAUCAAGGUUUAUCAACUUGCCUCAGUAGUUGAGUCUAGAGGAAUCAAAAGGCUGCAACCUGGUGAAUUGUAGGUCAGAUUUUGUAGAAAAUUACGCAAAACUUAACACUCUUGCCAUUACGCAUCAUGUUAAAACUGGCAGCUGUAAUCUGCUGGUGAAUACAACAAAUUUCUAAUGCUAGCUAGAGACACAACGUCAGCACAUUUCCUUUCAGUUUGUUUGGACAAAGAAGCAUAGUAUAACCCGAUCUAGGCCAAAAAGAAGCUUAGUGUAGGCAGUUGCCAAAGAAUGCAAACUUAAAUGUCCUAGUUUUGGAAGAUUUGGUGAGCCUAUACUGUAGGGGGUAAACAAAUCCUUUCAGAAUAUGUUGCUGUUCAAAAACAGAGCAACUCAAUCAUUUGUGAUACUAUUUUCUGGUCAUGGAUCAAAGAGGUGGCUACACAGUGACCAAUGCAAUCAUCACUGUUUUUUAAAAUCAGGGGAAUAUGACAACGAAAAUGUAACAUUUUUUGACCCAUACAAUGAAUACAGUCAAAAUAACAUAGUGUAGAAACUGGAUCCUCUAUCAUGUCGUUUAAAGCAUUAAUCUCAUAAAGACAAAAACAACAAAAUGUUGGUCCUCCUGUAAGUACUUUCUGACUAAAUCUUUGAAAACACGUCAUGAAUAUAUACUUUGACCUUUAAAAAAGGCUCAAUAAUUUCCUAAAACAUCUGAAGUUUUGUAAGCUAACAUGAGUAAAUAGGAUGUUUCUAGGGGAUUUUUUUUUAGUGGCAGACUAUAGUAUUUACAACAGCAGGAUGAUGUAUGUGGGAUUGAGUCAGAAUAAACUACAGUGUCUAUGUUCAGCAUUAUAAAGGACAUUCAACAGAUUGUUUUUGGGCAAAAAUUGAGCUCCACAAUUCCAUUAGAAUAAUAAUAAGGAGGAAAAUAUAGACAGGCUUUAGGUAAAAGACAAUGCUUGUUAGUAGAGUCAGUUCAUUGUUGGUUUUAGGUUUUAAUGGGAUUUGUUGAAAAAAAGAAAAAAUAUCACCAGACAUGUCCUCUAAAAGCAAGAUUGGUGCUAAUCAUUAACUGUCGCUUCGCCUCUUUGCAUAAUUGUGGAGAUUGUGCCUCUGAUGGUACUGUAUAUAAAAAUCUGUAUAUAAACAUUCAGUAGCUGUCAUAUGUGACUAGUGGGACUAAUGCCAAAAUCAGCAGAUCUGUGUGUGGUGGCUCAUGUCUUGUUGAAGGGCAAGAAAUUUCAACUUUGACACGCCUAUUUGCACCAUUGACCAAUAGGAAACUGUCUUGACAAUGCUGACCUUUAUUUAACCUCCUCUGUUGCAGUAUGAACUAUCCCACAGAAGAAUUAAAGAAUUGGCACUAUAUAAAUAAAAUUUAAAUUAACUGAAAAGAGAAAUGGCUUUUCUUACUUUUAAGAGGCAGGACUUGAAUGUACAAAUACAUCUUUGCGCCACAGAAGAAUGAAAGAAUUGAAGAAUGAAAGAAUUGGCGCUAUAUAAAUAAAAUUGAA